GAAAAUCACCACUUCUGCAUUCUCUGAUCAGGGAUUGUAGUUAAUUAGUAAUUACACAAAAUGAUAUGCCAAAGUCCUAUAAUUACAAACUUAACCUUUUAUUUAAGGAGGAGGAUUGCUGGUUUUGUUCUUCGCUUGUACCCUUUCCAGCAUGCAAUUGGUGAAAGAAUGGAAGAAAGAAAGAAAGAAAAGCAGGAUCCUUAAAAGAAAAUCUGGUUUUGUUCGUGGCACUUUUAGAAUUUGUAACUGAGGUUUAGUGAUUUGCUCUUUUUUAUUCAUUUGUUUUCAUAGAGCUGCUGUUUUAUGUUACCAUUCUGUUUCGGUGGAGCCAUAAACCUCAGCGAGCUACUUGGUCCAAACAUGAAGAGAGUGGGCCCUUUCUUGAAUCACAUCCAGUUGUGUCAUGACUCCAUUAAAGACAAGUCAUACCACUGCAUCAACGACUGCGGAGCGGAUUAUCUCUUGUGGCUGAUGCAAUGAAUGGGUGUCCAAGUCCUCCAAAUGGGCAAAUAGUUGGUGUAUCAGAGACUUGUUAAAAGAGGCACAAUUUAAUUUCAGGUCACUGAAAUACAUCUGGGAAUGAUUUUUCCGAUAUGUGUGUAAACGUGAAAAGAACAAUUCCAGCCGUUUGCAUCCCUCCAGCCCGGCUACCUCAGGGGCAGGGGGAGAAAGACUCUGCUUUCCCAGCCCGCCUGGUAUGUAGCAUUAACAGAUA